GGUUACUGCUAUCGGUGUUCGCCUAAGCCAUGCGAGUCAUAUGUUCUUCGGAACAUGGCGUACUGCUCAGUAACACGUGGAUAACCUGCCCUUGGGUCCGGCAUAACCCCGGGAAUCUGGGGAUAAUUCCGGAUAACGCAUAUAUGCUGGAAUGCUUUCUGCGUAAAAUGGAUUCGUCUGCCCAAGGAUGGGUCUGCGGCCUAUCAGGUAGUAGUGGGUGUAAUGUACCUACCAGCCGACGACGGUUACGGGUUGUGAGAGCAAGAGCCCGGAGAUGGAUUCUGAGACAUGAAUCCAGGCCCUACGGGGCGCAGCAGGCGCGAAAACUUUACAAUGCGGGAAACCGUGAUAAGGGGACACCGAGUGCCAGCAUCAUAUGCUGGCUGUCCGGGUGUGUAAAAUACACCCGUUAGCAAGGGCCGGGCAAGACCGGUGCCAGCCGCCGCGGUAACACCGGCGGCCCGAGUGGUGAUCGUGAUUAUUGGGUCUAAAGGGUCCGUAGCCGGUUUGGUCAGUCCUCCGGGAAAUCUGAUAGCUCAACUAUUAGGCUUUCGGGGGAUACUGCCAGGCUUGGAACCGGGAGAGGUAAGAGGUACUACAGGGGUAGGAGUGAAAUCUUGUAAUCCCUGUGGGACCACCUGUGGCGAAGGCGUCUUACCAGAACGGGUUCGACGGUGAGGGACGAAAGCUGGGGGCACGAACCGGAUUAGAUACCCGGGUAGUCCCAGCCGUAAACGAUGCUCGCUAGGUGUCAGGCAUGGCGCGACCGUGUCUGGUGCCGCAGGGAAGCCGUGAAGCGAGCCACCUGGGAAGUACGGCCGCAAGGCUGAAACUUAA
rnacentral:rRNA from 1 species